CGCCCUUAGAGUUUGAUCCUGGCUCAAGACGACCGCUGGCGGCGCGCCUAACACAUGCAAGUCGAACGAGCGAGAGAGAGCUUGCUUUCUCGAGCGAGUGGCGAACGGGUGAGUAACGCGUGAGGAACCUGCCUCAAAGAGGGGGACAACAGUUGGAAACGACUGCUAAUACCGCAUAAGCCCACGGGUCGGCAUCGACCAGAGGGAAAAGGAGCAAUCCGCUUUGAGAUGGCCUCGCGUCCGAUUAGCUAGUUGGUGAGGUAAUGGCCCACCAAGGCGACGAUCGGUAGCCGGACUGAGAGGUUGAACGGCCACAUUGGGACUGAGACACGGCCCAGACUCCUACGGGAGGCAGCAGUGGGGAAUAUUGCACAAUGGGGGAAACCCUGAUGCAGCGACGCCGCGUGGAGGAAGAAGGUCUUCGGAUUGUAAACUCCUGUUGUUGGGGAAGAUAAUGACGGUACCCAACAAGGAAGUGACGGCUAACUACGUGCCAGCAGCCGCGGUAAAACGUAGGUCACAAGCGUUGUCCGGAAUUACUGGGUGUAAAGGGAGCGCAGGCGGGAAGACAAGUUGGAAGUGAAAUCUAUGGGCUCAACCCAUAAACUGCUUUCAAAACUGUUUUUCUUGAGUAGUGCAGAGGUAGGCGGAAUUCCCGGUGUAGCGGUGGAAUGCGUAGAUAUCGGGAGGAACACCAGUGGCGAAGGCGGCCUACUGGGCACCAACUGACGCUGAGGCUCGAAAGUGUGGGUAGCAAACAGGAUUAGAUACCCUGGUAGUCCACACCGUAAACGA
rnacentral:rRNA from 1 species